rnacentral:rRNA from 1 species
GUGACUGCGUACCUUUUGUAUAAUGGGUCAGCGACUUAUAUUCUGUAGCAAGGUUAACCGAAUAGGGGAGCCGAAGGGAAACCGAGUCUUAACUGGGCGUUAAGUUGCAGGGUAUAGACCCGAAACCCGGUGAUCUAGCCAUGGGCAGGUUGAAGGUUGGGUAACACUAACUGGAGGACCGAACCGACUAAUGUUGAAAAAUUAGCGGAUGACUUGUGGCUGGGGGUGAAAGGCCAAUCAAACCGGGAGAUAGCUGGUUCUCCCCGAAAGCUAUUUAGGUAGCGCCUCGUGAAUUCAUCUCCGGGGGUAGAGCACUGUUUCGGCAAGGGGGUCAUCCCGACUUACCAACCCGAUGCAAACUGCGAAUACCGGAGAAUGUUAUCACGGGAGACACACGGCGGGUGCUAACGUCCGUCGUGAAGAGGGAAACAACCCAGACCGCCAGCUAAGGUCCCAAAGUCAUGGUUAAGUGGGAAACGAUGUGGGAAGGCCCAGACAGCCAGGAUGUUGGCUUAGAAGCAGCCAUCAUUUAAAGAAAGCGUAAUAGCUCACUGGUCGAGUCGGCCUGCGCGGAAGAUGUAACGGGGCUAAACCAUGCACCGAAGCUGCGGCAGCGACACUAUGUGUUGUUGGGUAGGGGAGCGUUCUGUAAGCCUGUGAAGGUGUACUGUGAGGUAUGCUGGAGGUAUCAGAAGUGCGAAUGCUGACAUAAGUAACGAUAAAGCGGGUGAAAAGCCCGCUCGCCGGAAGACCAAGGGUUCCUGUCCAACGUUAAUCGGGGCAGGGUGAGUCGACCCCUAAGGCGAGGCCGAAAGGCGUAGUCGAUGGGAAACAGGUUAAUAUUCCUGUACUUGGUGUUACUGCGAAGGGGGGACGGAGAAGGCUAUGUUGGCCGGGCGACGGUUGUCCCGGUUUAAGCGUGUAGGCUGGUUUUCCAGGCAAAUCCGGAAAAUCAAGGCUGAGGCGUGAUGACGAGGCACUACGGUGCUGAAGCAACAAAUGCCCUGCUUCCAGGAAAAGCCUCUAAGCAUCAGGUAACAUCAAAUCGUACCCCAAACCGACACAGGUGGUCAGGUAGAGAAUACCAAGGCGCUUGAGAGAACUCGGGUGAAGGAACUAGGCAAAAUGGUGCCGUAACUUCGGGAGAAGGCACGCUGAUAUGUAGGUGAAGCGACUUGCUCGUGGAGCUGAAAUCAGUCGAAGAUACCAGCUGGCUGCAACUGUUUAUUAAAAACACAGCACUGUGCAAACACGAAAGUGGACGUAUACGGUGUGACGCCUGCCCGGUGCCGGAAGGUUAAUUGAUGGGGUUAGCGCAAGCGAAGCUCUUGAUCGAAGCCCCGGUAAACGGCGGCCGUAACUAUAACGGUCCUAAGGUAGCGAAAUUCCUUGUCGGGUAAGUUCCGACCUGCACGAAUGGCGUAAUGAUGGCCAGGCUGUCUCCACCCGAGACUCAGUGAAAUUGAACUCGCUGUGAAGAUGCAGUGUACCCGCGGCAAGACGGAAAGACCCCGUGAACCUUUACUAUAGCUUGACACUGAACAUUGAGCCUUGAUGUGUAGGAUAGGUGGGAGGCUUUGAAGUGUGGACGCCAGUCUGCAUGGAGCCGACCUUGAAAUACCACCCUUUAAUGUUUGAUGUUCUAACGUUGGCCCGUUAUCCGGGUUGCGGACAGUGUCUGGUGGGUAGUUUGACUGGGGCGGUCUCCUCCUAAAGAGUAACGGAGGAGCACGAAGGUUGGCUAAUCCUGGUCGGACAUCAGGAGGUUAGUGCAAUGGCAUAAGCCAGCUUGACUGCGAGCGUGACGGCGCGAGCAGGUGCGAAAGCAGGUCAUAGUGAUCCGGUGGUUCUGAAUGGAAGGGCCAUCGCUCAACGGAUAAAAGGUACUCCGGGGAUAACAGGCUGAUACCGCCCAAGAGUUCAUAUCGACGGCGGUGUUUGGCACCUCGAUGUCGGCUCAUCACAUCCUGGGGCUGAAGUAGGUCCCAAGGGUAUGGCUGUUCGCCAUUUAAAGUGGUACGCGAGCUGGGUUUAGAACGUCGUGAGACAGUUCGGUCCCUAUCUGCCGUGGGCGCUGGAGAACUGAGGGGGGCUGCUCCUAGUACGAGAGGACCGGAGUGGACGCAUCACUGGUGUUCGGGUUGUCAUGCCAAUGGCACUGCCCGGUAGCUAAAUGCGGAAGAGAUAAGUGCUGAAAGCAUCUAAGCACGAAACUUGCCCCGAGAUGAGUUCUCCCUGACUCCCUGAGAGUCCUGAAGGAACGUUGAAGACGACGACGUUGAUAGGCCGGGUGUGUAAGCGCAGCGAUGCGUUGAGCUAACCGGUACUAAUGAACCGUGAGGCUUAACCUU